rnacentral:lncRNA from 1 species
CUGGGGCGAGGGAUCGGGUUCUCCUCUCUGUGGUGCAGUAUCUCCUUGAAGCGUGACAGCCGCGAUUGCUUCCAGAUGUUCGCCUCCUCGCCUCCAGCCGGCUGGGGGGGAUGUGGUGAGCUCCACGAUGGAAACCCAAACGCAGAGCAGAUGUACCGUGUCAGCCUCGGCGAGGCGCGCAUCUGGCCGCGGUGCGCGGGCACCGGCGCUCCUCCAGCGCAGAGGAGCCGGGCUCGGGGCGCUUCCCGCAGGAUCCUCUGCAGAUUCAGCCUAGGACUCCAGGGAUGCAUAUUCCUCUCCUGGAACUUGUAUAUCCGGCCUGAGGAUGAAAACCCCCGAAGCCCCAAGCAUAACAAGCAUUUCUUGUAUUUCUCCUGUCUCCGUCACAUCAGGCAUGUAGCGAAUGCUCAGGCUGAUAAACAGCAUCUGGUUGGAGUCAGGAGGCGGAGGAAAUUCUUAUACAAAAAUGGAAAUGCACCCCUUCUGCCAAGCUAUUAAUUCUGCUUCCUAUGGAAACCAAGGGGUUCCCUGCCUUUGUGCUCUGAUUCUGCUCUGAACUUCCAAGUUUAUUUUUAUGCCCAGAUUUGGCAAAGCACUAAGAGCUGAGGUUGGUGUUCCGUGUGAGCUGAGGUAUCUCCCUGCAUGAGGCUGUAUCCUAAACACCUAACGGCACCCACAGGCACGUGCUCCAGC